rnacentral:rRNA from 1 species
AUUGAACGCUGGCGGCAUGCCUUACACAUGCAAGUCGAACGGCAGCACGGGGGCAACCCUGGUGGCGAGUGGCGAACGGGUGAGUAACACAUCGGAACGUGUCCUGUUGUGGGGGAUAACCCACCGAAAGGUGAGCUAAUACCGCAUGAUCUGGAGACAGCAAAGCAGGGGACCCGCAAGGGCCUUGCGCGAUUGGAGCGGCCGAUGUCCGAUUAGCUAGUUGGCGGGGUAAGGGCCUACCAAGGCGACGAGCUGUAGCGGGUCUGGGAGGAUGAUCCGCCACGCUGGGAAUGGGACACGGCCCAGACUCCUACGGGAGGCAGCAGUGGGGAAUAUUGGACAAUGGGGGGAACCCUGAUCCAGCCAUGCCGCGUGUGUGAAGAAGGCCUUAUGGUUGUAAAGCACUUUAAGCGAGGAGGAGGCUCUUUUGGUUAAUACCCAAGAUGAGUGGACGUUACUCGCAGAAUAAGCACCGGCUAACUCUGUGCCAGCAGCCGCCGCCGUAA